GCCCGUUUAGCUCAGCUGGUUAGAGCGUCGUACUAAUAUAGCAGCAAUUUGCUGUUAUAUCAAGGUCCAUGCGAAGGUCAACAGUUCAAUCCUGUUAAUGGGCA